rnacentral:rRNA from 1 species
GAAUAUCUCCGUCUCGCAAGAGACUGCUAUAUAGGUGCUGCAUGGCUGUCGUCAGCUCGUGUCGUGAGAUGUUGGGUUAAGUCCCGCAACGAGCGCAACCCUUAUCGUUAGUUGCCAUCAGGUCAAGCUGGGCACUCUAGCGAAACCGCCUCGGAUAACGGGGAGGAAGGUGGGGAUGACGUCAAGUCCUCAUGGCCUUUAUGUCCAGGGCUACACACGUGCUACAAUGCACGGUACAAACCGUCGCAAACCCGUGAGGGGGAGCUAAUCGGAAAAAGCCGUGCUCAGUUCGGAUUGGAGUCUGCAACCCGACUCCAUGAAGCUGGAAUCGCUAGUAAUCGCAGAUCAGAACGCUGCGGUGAAUACGUUCCCGGGCCUUGUACACACCGCCCGUCACAUCACGAAAGUGGACUGCACUAGAAGCCGGCGUGCCAACUCGCAAGAGGGGUAGCCGUCCAAGGUAUGGUUCAUGAUUGGGGUGAAGUCGUAACAAGGUAGCCGUAA